rnacentral:lncRNA from 1 species
ACGGUAAAAAAAAAUUUUUUAAAAAUUUUUUAAAUUUUAAAUUGAUUAGAUCAAUUUAAAAGAUAUAAACAUAAUAAUGGGAAAAAGGAAAAUCUAAUUUGAUUAGAUCAAACUAACAUCUUGAUAUGAUCAAGUUGUUAUGUUUAAAGAUUAAGUUGUUGAUCAAAAUUAUAAACGAUCAAUAAGAUUGAUUGUUUUUAAUAAUUUAGUCACUAAUUUUUCGAAUCGUCGUUGAACGGUUAAUUAGAAUAUCCAAAGUUAAUUAUUAUGAAUGUGAUGUAUGAGAUACAUAUCGGUGAUGAUCAUGGAUAGCGACCUAUUUAUUUUUGUUUCGACAUGUGAUGUAUAAUGUGUAUGCAGAAUCCUGUAAUUUUAAAUUUGUUUAAAUUAAG